UUUCCGUAGGUGAACCUGCGGAAGGAUCAUUAAUGAGUUGUCAUGGGGUUCGAUGCUGGCAGCCAGUUUUUGGAUGCAUGUGCUUGCCCUAACAAUCAUCUUCUUCCAAACACCUGUGCACAUUUUUGAGGGUGUCUUGAGUUGGUUGCCGCUCUUGGGUGAUUUUCUCACAUUCCCUUAAAUCAUUAUACGCUAUUAACAAUGUUGAACGUGCUCUGUGCCGCAAGGCCAUUAAUAUAAUACAACUUUUAACAACGGAUCUCUUGGCUCUC
rnacentral:misc_RNA from 1 species